rnacentral:rRNA from 1 species
AACGAACGCUGGCGGCAGGCUUAACACAUGCAAGUCGAACGCAUCCUUCGGGGUGAGUGGCAGACGGGUGAGUAACGCGUGGGAACGUGCCCUUCAGUUCGGGAUAACCCAGGGAAACUUGGGCUAAUACCGGAUACGUGCGAGAGCAGAAAGAUUUAUCGCUGAAGGAUCGGCCCGCGUCUGAUUAGCUAGUUGGUGGGGAAAUGGCCCACCAAGGCGACGAUCAGUAGCCGGUCCGAGAGGAUGAACAGCCACAAUGGGACUGAGGCACGGCCCAAACUCCUACGGGAGGCAGCUGUGGGGAAUAUUGGACAAUGGGCGCAAACCUGAUCAAGCCAUGCCGCGUGAGUGAUGAAGGCCUUAGGGUUGUAAAGCUCUUUCGGCCGGGACGAUAAUGACGGUACCGGAAGAAGAAGCCCCGGCUAACUUCGUGCCAGCAGCCGCCGUAA